CGGCCCCUGGACAAGACUGACGCUCAGGUGCGAAAGCGUGGGGAGCAAACAGGAUUAGAUACCUGGUAGUCACGCUGUAAACGAUGUCGAUUUGGAGGUUGUUCCCUUGAGGAGUGGCUUCCGGAGCUAACGCGUUAAAUCGACCGCCUGGGGAGUACGGCCGCAAGGUUAAAACUCAAAUGAAUUGACGGGGGCCCGCACAAGCGGUGGAGCAUGUGGUUUAAUUCGAUGCAACGCGAAGAACCUUACCUACUCUUGACAUCCAGAGAAUUUAGCAGAGAUGCUUUAGUGCCUUCGGGAACUCUGAGACAGGUGCUGCAUGGCUGUCGUCAGCUCGUGUUGUGAAAUGUUGGGUUAAGUCCCGCAACGAGCGCAACCCUUAUCCUUUGUUGCCAGCACGUUAUGGUGGGAACUCAAAGGAGACUGCCGGUGAUAAACCGGAGGAAGGUGGGGACGACGUCAAGUCAUCAUGGCCCUUACGAGUAGGGCUACACACGUGCUACAAUGGCGUAUACAAAGAGAAGCGACCUCGCGAGAGCAAGCGGAACUCAUAAAGUACGUCGUAGUCCGGAUUGGAGUCUGCAACUCGACUCCAUGAAGUCGGAAUCGCUAGUAAUCGUAGAUCAGAAUGCUACGGUGAAUACGUUCCCGGGCCUUGUACACACCGCCCGUCACACCAUGGGAGUGGGUUGCAAAAGAAGUAGGUAGCUUAACCUUCGGGAGGGCGCUUACCACUUUGUGAUUCAUGACUGGGGUGAAGUCGUAACAAGGUAACCA
rnacentral:rRNA from 1 species